UACAGAGGUGGCAAGCGUUGUUCGGAAUUACUGGGCGUAAAGGGCGCGUAGGCGGCCUUCUAAGUCAGACGUGAAAUCCCCCGGCUUAACCUGGGAACUGCGUCUGAUACUGGGAGGCUUGAGUAUGGGAGAGGGAUGUAGAAUUCCAGGUGUAGCGGUGAAAUGCGUAGAUAUCUGGAGGAAUACCGGUGGCGAAGGCGGCAUCCUGGACCGAGAUUGACACUGAGGAGCGAAAGCCAGGGGAGCAAACGGG
rnacentral:rRNA from 1 species